rnacentral:rRNA from 1 species
CUGAAACCGUGUACGUACAAGCAGUGGGAGCCCCACCACUAAGCCAGUGGUGAACUCCACAUACGCAUCCUUUGCUGAGGAUACGGUUAACGGAGCGAAAGCGACGUUCAACCGCAAAAGAAGCAGAGGGGGCUUAGUGGUGGGGUGACUGCGUACCUUUUGUAUAAUGGGUCAGCGACUUAUAUUCUGUAGCAAGGUUAACCGCAUAGGGGAGCCGGAGGGAAACCGAGUCUUAAUUGGGCGUUAAGUUGCAGGGUAUAGACCCGAAACCCGGUGAUCUAGCCAUGGGCAGGUUGAAGGUUGGGUAACACUAACUGGAGGACCGAACCGACUAAUGUUGAAAAAUUAGCGGAUGACCUGUGGCUGGGGGUGAAAGGCCAAUCAAACCGGGAGAUAGCUGGUUCUCCCCGAAAGCUAUUUAGGUAGCGCCUCGUGAAUUCAUCUCCGGGGGUAGAGCACUGUUUCGGCUAGGGGGCCAUCCCGGCUUACCAACCCGAUGCAAACUGCGAAUACCGGAGAAUGUUAUCACGGGAGACACACGGCGGGUGCUAACGUCCGUCGUGAAGAGGGAAACAACCCAGACCGCCAGCUAAGGUCCCAAAGUCAUGGUUAAGUGGGAAACGAUGUGGGAAGGCCCAGACAGCCAGGAUGUUGGCUUAGAAGCAGCCAUCAUUUAAAGAAAGCGUAAUAGCUCACUGGUCGAGUCGGCCUGCGCGGAAGAUGUAACGGGGCUAAACCAUGCAC